AUUGAACGCUGGCGGCAUGCCUUACACAUGCAAGUCGAACGGCAGCACGGGUGCUUGCACCUGGUGGCGAGUGGCGAACGGGUGAGUAAUACAUCGGAACAUGUCCUGUAGUGGGGGAUAGCCCGGCGAAAGCCGGAUUAAUACCGCAUACGAUCUACGGAUGACAGCGGGGGACCUUCGGGCCUCGCGCGAUAGGGUUGGCCGAUGGCUGAUUAGCUAGUUGGUGGGGUAAAGGCCUACCAAGGCGACGAUCAGUAGAUGGUCUGAGAGGACGACCAGCCACACUGGGACUGAGACACGGCCCAGACUCCUACGGGAGGCAGCAGUAGGGAAUUUUCGACAAUGGGCGAAAGCCUGAUCCAGCAAUGCCGCGUGUGUGAAGAAGGCCUUCGGGUUGUAAAGCACUUUUGUCCGGAAAGAAAUCCUUGGCUCUAAUACAGUCGGGGGAUGACGGUACCGGAAGAAUAAGCACCGGCUAACUACGUG
rnacentral:rRNA from 1 species